GAAAACGAAUUUAUUAUAUUAUAUUUAUAUAUAUUUGAACUUAAAAAAUACACAACGUGCCACUAAAGCGAGUUUGCGAGCUUCUGGGACGCCUUGAACAGUGGCCACUGGAGGAGGACGUCCUUAAAAACAUCGAGAAAUUUGUCGCCAAACUGUAUAAGGUGGAUCCCAGCAUAACAAGCUCAAACGAUGCCCGGAGUUUUUUGUUUGGAGCUGUCAAAAAGGCAGAAUUCUUCCCUCUAACAACCGAUGCACUUCAUCUGCAUAUCAAAAGAUGCAACUAUCAGAUGUGUGUUUGGGAAAACGCCCAUAUCCCCAAACCGUCACUCCCUAGGCUACAGGACUGUGGCUGGAUUGUGCAGAGGGAACAAGUUGUCCCUCUUUUAAUGACUCUGGAUCCCAUUCCAAAGAAGUGCG